rnacentral:rRNA from 1 species
GACGGAGGAUGCAAGCGUUAUCCGGAAUGAUUGGGCGUAAAGCGUCCGCAGGUGGCAGUUCAAGUCUGCUGUCAAAGACCGGGGCUUAACUUCGGAAAGGCAGUGGAAACUGAACAGCUAGAGUAUGGUAGGGGCAGAGGGAAUUCCUGGUGUAGCGGUGAAAUGCGCAGAUAUCAGGAGGAACACCGGUGGCGAAGGCGUUCUGCUAGGCCGCAACUGACACUGAGGGACGAAAGCUAGGGGAGCGAAUGGG